rnacentral:rRNA from 1 species
ACCUGCCCCGUGGUGGGGGACAACCCAGGGAAACCUGGGCUAAUACCGCAUAAGCCCUGUGGCCGUGGAGGCCAUUGGGGAAAGAUUUAUCGCCACGGGAUGGGCCCGCGUCGGAUUAGCUAGUUGGUGGGGUAACGGCCCACCAAGGCGACGAUCCGUAGCUGGUCUGAGAGGACGAUCAGCCACACUGGGACUGAGACACGGCCCAGACUCCUACGGGAGGCAGCAGUGGGGAAUCUUGGACAAUGGGGGCAACCCUGAUCCAGCGAUGCCGCGUGAGCGAAGAAGGCCUUAGGGUUGUAAAGCUCUUUCGCCCACGACGAUAAUGACGGUAGUGGGAGAAGAAGCCCCGGCUAACUCCGUGCCAGCAGCCGCGGUAAUACGGAGGGGGCUAGCGUUGUCCGGAAUUACUGGGCGUAAAGCGCGCGUAGGUGGUCUGCCAAGUCGGGGGUGAAAGCCCGGGGCUCAACUCCGGAAUUGCCUCCGAGACUGGCGGACUCGAGUUCGGGAGAGGAGAGCGGAAUUCCCAGUGUAGAGGUGAAAUUCGUAGAUAUUGGGAAGAACACC